rnacentral:rRNA from 1 species
ACAAGCAGCGGAGCGUGUGGUUAAUUCGAUGCAACGCGAAGAACCUUACCAAGGCUUGACAUGCCAGAAGUAGGAACUCGAAAGAGAGACCACCUGUAUCCAGUCAGGAACUGGCACAGGUGCUGCAUGGCUGUCGUCAGCUCGUGCCGUGAGGUGUUAGGUUAAGUCCUGCAACGAGCGCAACCCUCGUCGCUAGUUAAAUUUUCUAGCGAUACUGCCCGUAAAACGAGGAGGAAGGUGGGAUGACGUCAAGUCAGCACUGGCCCUUAGCCUUGGGCUACACACACGCUACAAUGGGUGAUACAACGGGUUGCGAGAGAGCGAUCUGGAGCUAAUCCCUAAAAUCAUCCUCAGUUCGGAUUGCAGGCUGAAACUGCCUGCAUGAAGUUGGAGUUGCUAGUAACCGCAGGUCAGCACACUGCGGUGAAUACGUUCUCGGGCCUU